GGGGCGGUAGCUCAAUCGGUUAGAGCGGCAGACUCAUAAUCUGUUGGUUCCAGGUUCAAGUCCUGGCCGCCCCA
rnacentral:tRNA from 1 species